UACGUAGGGUGCGAGCGUUGUCCGGAAUUAUUGGGCGUAAAGAGCUCGUAGGCGGUGUGUCACGUCGGCCGUGAAAACCUGCAGCUUAACUGUGGGCGUGCGGUCGAUACGGGCAUCACUGGAGUUCGGCAGGGAGACUGGAAUUCCUGGUGUAGCGGUGAAAUGCGCAGAUAUCAGGAGGAACACCGGUGGCGAAGGCGGGUCUCGUGGGCCGAUACUGACGCUGAGGAGCGAAAGCGUGGGAGCAAACAGG
rnacentral:rRNA from 1 species